rnacentral:rRNA from 1 species
GUACCGAGCCUACGAUCUAUAGCUGGUCUGAUAGGAUGAUCAGCCACUCUGGGACUGAGACACGGCCCAGACUCCUACAGGAGGCAGCAAUGGGGAAUCUUGCACAAUGGGCGAAAGCCUGAUGCACCCAUGCCGCGUGAAUGAUGAAGGCCUUAGGGUUGUAAAAUUCUUUCGCUAGGGAUGAUAAUGACAGUACCUAGUAAAGAAGCCCCGGCUAACUUCGUGCCAGCAGCCGCGGUAAUACGAAGGGGGCUAGCGUUGUUCGGAAUUACUGGGCGUAAAGCGCACGUAGGCGGACUUUUAAGUCAGAUGUGAAAUCCCGGGGCUCAACCUCGGAACUGCAUUUGAAACUGGAAGUCUGGAGUUCAGGAGAGGUUAGCGGAAUACCGAGUGUAGAGGUGAAAUUCGUAGAUAUUCGGUGGAACACCAGUGGCGAAGGCGGCUAACUGGACUGAUACUGACGCUGAGGUGCGAAAGUGUGGGGAGCAAACAGGAUUAGAUACCCUGGUAGUCCACACCGUAAACGAUGAGAGCUAGUUGUUGGCAGGCAUGCCUGUCGGUGACG